AUUGAACGCUGGCGGCAUGCCUUACACAUGCAAGUCGAACGGCAGCACGGGUGCUUGCACCUGGUGGCGAGUGGCGAACGGGUGAGUAAUACAUCGGAACAUGUCCUGUAGUGGGGGAUAGCCCGGCGAAAGCCGGAUUAAUACCGCAUACGAUCUACGGAUGAAAGCGGGGGACCUUCGGGCCUCGCGCUAUAGGGUUGGCCGAUGGCUGAUUAGCUAGUUGGUGGGGGAAAGGCCUACCAAGGCGACGAUCAGUAGCUGGUCUGAGAGGACGACCAGCGACACUGGGACUGAGACACGGCCCAGACUCCUACGGGAGGCAGCAGUGGGGAAUGUGGGACAAUGGGCGAAAGCCUGAUCCAGCAAUGCCGCGUGUGUGAAGAAGGCCUUCGGGUUGUAAAGCACGUUUGUCCGGAAAGAAAUCCUUGGCUCUAAUACAGUCGGGGGAUGACGGUACCGGAAGAAUAAGCACCGGCUAACUACGUG
rnacentral:rRNA from 1 species